CAGUAGCCGCGGGAAAACGGAGGGAGCUAGCGUUGUUCGGAAUUACUGGGCGUAAAGCGCACGUAGGCGGCUUUGUAAGUUAGAGGUGAAAGCCUGGAGCUCAACUCCAGAAUUGCCUUUAAGACUGCAUCGCUUGAAUCCGAGAGAGGUGAGUGGAAUUCCGAGUGUAGAGGUGAAAUUCGUAGAUAUUCGGAAGAACACCAGUGGCGAAGGCGGCUCACUGGCUCGGUAUUGACGCUGAGGUGCGAAAGCGUGGGGAGCAAACAGGAUUAGAUACCCCAGUAGUCCCUGUCUCUUAUAC
rnacentral:rRNA from 1 species